rnacentral:rRNA from 1 species
UAAGGAAUAUUGGUCAAUGGGGGCAACCCUGAACCAGCCAUGCCGCGUGCAGGAAGACAGCCCUACGGGUCGUAAACUGCUUUUGUACGGGAAUAAACCCCUCUUCGUGAAGAGGGCUGAACGUACCGUAAGAAUAAGGAUCGGCUAACUCCGUGCCAGCAGCCGCGGUAAUACGGAGGAUCCGAGCGUUAUCCGGAUUUAUUGGGUUUAAAGGGAGCGUAGGCGGCCCGCUAAGUCAGGGGUGAAAGACGGUGGCUCAACCAUCGCAGUGCCUUUGAUACUGGCGGGCUUGAAUGUAGUUGAGGUGGGCGGAAUGUGACAAGUAGCGGUGAAAUGCAUAGAUAUGUCACAGAACACCGAUUGCGAAGGCAGCUCACUAAGCUAUGAUUGACGCUGAGGCUCGAAAGCGUGGGGAUCAAACA